rnacentral:rRNA from 1 species
CGGUUAAGUUAGAAAGGGCGCACGGUGGAUGCCUUGGCACUAGGAGCCGAUGAAGGACGGGACAAACACCGAAAUGCUUCGGGGAGCUGUAAGUAAGCGUCGAUCCGGAGAUGUCCGAAUGGGGGAACCCACUGUCCGUAAUGGGGCAGUAUCCAUACCUGAAUCCAUAGGGUAUGGAGGGCAACCCGGGGAACUGAAACAUCUAAGUACCCGGAGGAAGAGAAAGCAAUAGCGAUUCCCUGAGUAGCGGCGAGCGAAACGGGAACAGCCCAAACCAAGAGGCGUGCCUCUUGGGGUUGUAGGACACUCGAUUAAGGAGUGACAAAGGAACGGGGUAGACGAAGAGGUCUGGAAAGGCCCGUCAGAGAAGGUAACAACCCUGUAGUCGAAACUCCGUUCCCUCCCGAGUGGAUCCUGAGUACGGCGGGACACGUGAAAUCCCGUCGGAAGCAGGGAGGACCAUCUCCCAAGGCUAAAUACUCCCUAGUGACCGAUAGUGAACCAGUACCGUGAGGGAAAGGUGAAAAGCACCCCGGGAGGGGAGUGAAAGAGAACCUGAAACCGUGUGCCUACAAGUAGUCAGAGCCCUAUUCCCACCCACAAAAGCAGGCUUUUGCGGGGACCCGGGAUGGGUGAUGGCGUGCCUUUUGUAGAAUGAACCGGCGAGUUGCGAUUUCGUGCAAGGUUAAGCCGAAAGGCGGAGCCGCAGCGAAAGCGAGUCUGAAGAGGGCGAAAUAGUACGAGGUCGCAGACCCGAAACCAGGUGAUCUACCCAUGUCCAGGGUGAAGGCAAGGUAACACUUGCUGGAGGCCCGAACCCACGCACGUUGAAAAGUGCGGGGAUGAGGUGUGGGUAGGGGUGAAAUGCCAAUCGAACUUGGAGAUAGCUGGUUCUCUCCGAAAUAGCUUUAGGGCUAGCCUCAAGGGAAGAGUCUUGGAGGUAGAGCACUGAUUGGACGAGGGGCCCCCAUCGGGUUACCGAAUUCAGUCAAACUCCGAAUGCCAAUGACUUAUCCUUGGGAGUCAGACUGCGAGUGAUAAGAUCCGUGGUCAAAAGGGAAACAGCCCAGACCGCCAGCUAAGGUCCCAAAGUAUACGUUAAGUGGAAAAGGAUGUGGAGCUGCUUAGACAACCAGGAUGUUGGCUUAGAAGCAGCCACCAUUUAAAGAGUGCGUAAUAGCUCACUGGUCGAGUGGCUCUGCGCCGAAAAUGUACCGGGGCUAAACGUAUCACCGAAGCUGCGGGUUGACACCGUUGGUGUCAGCGGUAGGAGAGCGUUCUAAGGGCAUCGAAGCCGGACCGGAAGGACCGGUGGAGCGCUUAGAAGUGAGAAUGCCGGUAUGAGUAGCGAAAGAGGGGUGAGAAUCCCCUCCGCCGAAAGCCUAAGGUUUCCUGAGGAAGGCUCGUCCGCUCAGGGUUAGUCGGGACCUAAGCCGAGGCCGAAAGGCGUAGGUGAUGGAUAACAGGUUGAUAUUCCUGUACCACCUCCUCACCGUUUGAGCAAUGGGGGGACGCAGGAGGAUAGGGCAAGCGCGCGGCUGGAUGUGCGCGUCCAAGCAGUUAGGCUGGCAAGCAGGCAAAUCCGCUUGCCGGAAGGCUGAACUGUGAUGGCGAGGGAAAGGAAGUACCGAAGUUCCCGAUUCCACACUGCCAAGAAAAGCCUCUAGCGAGGUGAGAGGUGCCCGUACCGCAAACCGACACAGGUAGGCGAGGAGAGAAUCCUAAGGUGAGCGAGAGAACUCUCGUUAAGGAACUCGGCAAAAUGACCCCGUAACUUCGGGAGAAGGGGUGCUCAUCAAGGUGAUAAGCCAUGAUGAGCCGCAGUGAAAAGGCCCAGGCGACUGUUUAGCAAAAACACAGGUCUCUGCGAAACCGUAAGGUGAAGUAUAGGGGCUGACGCCUGCCCGGUGCUGGAAGGUUAAGGGGAGCGCUUAAGCUGUAGCUGAAGGUGCGAACCGAAGCCCCAGUAAACGGCGGCCGUAACUAUAACGGUCCUAAGGUAGCGAAAUUCCUUGUCGGGUAAGUUCCGACCCGCACGAAAGGCGUAACGAUCUGGGCACUGUCUCAACGAGAGACUCGGUGAAAUUAUAGUACCUGUGAAGAUGCAGGUUACCCGCGACAGGACGGAAAGACCCCGUGGAGCUUUACUGCAGCCUGAUAUUGAAUGUGGGUACAGCUUGUACAGGAUAGGUAGGAGCCAGAGACGCGUGAGCGCCAGCUUGCGCUGAGGCGACGGUGGGAUACUACCCUGGCUGUACUGACAUUCUAACCCGCGCCCCUGAUCGGGGCGGGAGACAGUGUCAGGUGGGCAGUUUGACUGGGGCGGUCGCCUCCUAAAAGGUAACGGAGGCGCCCAAAGGUUCCCUCAGAAUGGUUGGAAAUCAUUCGGAGAGUGCAAAGGCAGAAGGGAGCUUGACUGCGAGACCUACAAGUCGAGCAGGGACGAAAGUCGGGCUUAGUGAUCCGGUGGUUCCGCAUGGAAGGGCCAUCGCUCAACGGAUAAAAGCUACCCCGGGGAUAACAGGCUGAUCUCCCCCAAGAGUCCACAUCGACGGGGAGGUUUGGCACCUCGAUGUCGGCUCAUCGCAUCCUGGGGCUGUAGUCGGUCCCAAGGGUUGGGCUGUUCGCCCAUUAAAGCGGUACGCGAGCUGGGUUCAGAACGUCGUGAGACAGUUCGGUCCCUAUCCGUCGCGGGCGCAGGAAAUUUGAGAGGAGCUGUCCUUAGUACGAGAGGACCGGGAUGGACGCACCGCUGGUGUACCAGUUGUCCCGCCAGGGGCAUCGCUGGGUAGCUAUGUGCGGAAGGGAUAAGCGCUGAAAGCAUCUAAGCGUGAAGCCCCCCUCAAGAUGAGAUUUCCCAUCGCGAAAAGCGAGUAAGAUCCCUUGAAGAUGACGAGGUAGAUAGGUCCGAGGUGGAAGCGUGGUGACACGUGGAGCUGACGGAUACUAAUCGAUCGAGGACUUAACCAAG